rnacentral:rRNA from 1 species
UCUAAGUAUAAUGCCAGACAGGGAAACUGCGUACGGCUCAUUACACCAGCCUUAAUUUACUUGACCUUGACAACCUACUUGGAUAACUGUGGUAAUUCUAGAGCUAAUACAUGCACCAAAGCUCCGAUCCUCGCGGAGAGGAGCGCAUUUGUUCGCCACAAAACCAAGCCCCCAUCUGGGCGUCCAGUGCUGAACCAGAACAACUCAGCUGAUCGCACGGUCUUGUACCGGCGACGUGUCUUUCAAGUGUCUGCCUUAUCAACUUUCCAUGGUAGUGUACCUGACUACCAUGGUUGUGACGGGUAACGGAGGAUAAGGGUUCGACUCCGGAGAAGGGGCCUGAGAAAUGGCCACUACGUCUAAGGAUGGCAGCAGGCGCGCAAAUUACCCACUCUCAACGCGAGGAGGUAGUGACGAGAAAUAACGAGACCGUUCUCAUACGAGGCCGGUUAUUGGAAUGGGUACAAUUUAAACC